rnacentral:rRNA from 5 species
GAAUACGUUCCCGGGCCUUGUACACACCGCCCGUCACACCAUGGGAGUGGGUUGCAAAAGAAGUAGGUAGCUUAACCUUCGGGAGGGCGCUUACCACUUUGUGAUUCAUGACUGGGGUGAAGUCGUAACAAGGUAACCGUAGGGGAACCUGCGGUUGGAUCACCUCCUUACCUUAAAGAA